rnacentral:rRNA from 1 species
GACUCUCGGCAACGGAUAUCUCAGCUCUUGCAUCGAUGAAGAACAUAGCGAAAUGCGAUACCUGGUGUGAAUUGCAGAAUCCCGCGAACCAUCGAGUCUUUGAACGCAAGUUGCGCCCGAGGCCAC